UGCCGGCCUAGCUCAAUUGGUAGAGCAACUGACUUGUAAUCAGUAGGUUGGGGGUUCAAGUCCUCUGGCCGGCA
rnacentral:tRNA from 1 species